CGGAAAGCGGCCAGAGGGAACCUCUCGGCCGCGGUGUCAGCCCCCCCGGAGUGGCUGUGACAGCAGCGGCAGCUACAGCUUCUACGCAGAUAAAGAACUACAACUAUCAAAUGUGAAGCCUUCAAUCCGGAAGUAAAACGAAAAAGGAUAAAGCGUAAGAAAUUGGGUUGCCGAGAGCAUCUUAAACAAGCAAAUCACAUUUUCAAGUAGAUCUUUAAAAUAUCUGACAUUCUGCAUUCAAAGUGAAGAUACGUUCCGAAUCACAUUCUCUGAGAUCCUGCUGAAGGAACUGAGCACUGGAUCAGAGGAGCUGGAAAGAGAAACCGGCAAGAAGGAAAAACAUGAGGAGUAAACAAGGAGUAAACAUGAGGAGAACAAGGGAGAGAAGAAUGUGAAGAGAUUGUAAGAGGGCACUGGUACAACUGAUUGGAAACUGAAAGAGAAAAAGAAUGAGGCUUAAUAUGGAGAGAUCAGUGCCAGAGAAAAGGCUUACAUCAGAAGAGAAAGAAGGAAAUGCAUUUAGUGGGAAAUAGAAAAGCACCAGGAUUCUUUGCCUCAGUUUCUGCUCAAAGAGAUUGUUGAAUGCACUGAAGCUGCUAGAGGAAAGUUGUGGCUUUAGAAUAUCCACAGAAGAUUGUUUCAAGGUUUCUUCAAAAACUUACACCAGUAGUCCACCUUGUCAGUUUCAUUGCAGAGACUGUAUCCCUUUGGUAAAUGGUAAACCCACGUCCACA